ncrna:Synergistes sp. 3_1_syn1 DTF2800 RNA
CCACCUCAAAGUACAUCCGCUGAUCACGGAUGGUUCAGUGCGAUGAGGUGGACAGCAGAAUAACGUACAGCUGACUACUGAACAGGAAGCUGCAAUCCGAAACGGAGUAAUCCGUUAGGACUGCGGACGGCAUACUAUUGCCAUUUUUAGGUCGGCUCU